GGUUUAGAACAGCAGGUGACUUGUUAGCAGACCCAAGAUGCUUCUGGAAGCAAAGCAGUGGUUCUGCAUGAUUCAUCAUACCUUUUGGAUCACCUUGUUUGUCCAUCAAGCUUCUGUGCUGGACUGCACCGUGAGGGUAUUGCGUGUGUCCACCUUUCUGCCAUGAGCCUCCCGCCUUACAUUCAUCCCAGAGAGCCUGACCAUGGAUAACGGGAUCAGCAACCUCUGAGGAGCCUGAGCCAGUGGACACAGAAAGUCUUCAGGCCUCCAUCACCUUCCAGCUUGUGCUGUAGGACACUCACCUGGCCUGAGUCCUCCACUUCCCCAGUUCAGCUUCCUCUAACAAGAGUAUCUGUCUGGAGCAGAGCCCGGGCCUGUGAGCUGCACCCAUUUCUUGGAGCAAUGCAGUCACUCGAUGCAAGUUUGCACUCAGAGAUCUGCUGUGAAGAAUUAAGCAGGAUUUUUUUUUUUCCCCACAGACAUUUCAUGUCAUCCCUGGGAAUUCUCCCUGAUCUCUCUGGAUAAUUCUGCACCAGACAGAUCCAGAGGGCCCCCGAAUCCAGA